AGGGAGCACAGUUACACGUGAGUGAAGUCUAGACGUGACUCAUCUGGCAAUUCGUUUAUCACUGGGACACACAAUGACACGCGUUUCCAUUUGCUUCCAGACAGGACGCCUACUGUCCCAGACUGUCGCUCAUCAAUUAGCAGAGCGGUCAGCCAUGUUACAUGGAGGAUAAACUGACCCCAAAACAGAGGAUGACACACGAAAUUAAUAAGCACUGUGCGCCACAAGACACGAACAAGUCUGGUUUCUGACAUCCUCAUUAACUGAAAUGCCAUGAAGAUUCAGUGGGCACAGGGUAGUGCAGUGGCAUACAUCUUUCAGAUAUGCAAAGCAACAAGAUAAGAGUGACUUCACGUGUACGAUGAAGAAGGCAGGACAUUGUGUUGCCAAGGACAAGGACACAGAGAUUGCUCUCCUGCGGUGUGAUCAAACCGGGCGGCCAGCACUGAUUGAAGACCAGAGGAGGGUUCUUCGGCUGAAACCCAAACCAACUCUGUCAUAGGUGCACACCUGAGAAACAACAGAACACAGCUCGGGCGUGUUUCCUAAAAUUGGAAUUCAGCACGUAACACCGGAGAAGGUAAUAGCCAAAAGAAGCCAGAGAAGUUUGAGUAACUCCUUCUGUAACUGUUACCCGAUAAUUAUAUUUUUAAAAAUUCUAACUGUACUUCCUGAAGUAAUAAAACAGCAACUGCUUUAAAAACUUAAAUUUAACCUUUCUAAGAAGAAAAAAAACGGUAUGUCAUUAUGGCUUUUGUAACUAAUGACUCAGACAUAAAUAAAAUCUGUGAAAUAUCAUUGAA